rnacentral:snRNA from 1 species
GGAUGUGAGGACAAUCUGACUGUGACAUCUGUCACCCCAUUGAUCCCCAGGGUUGAUUCAGCUGAUCUGACUGGAUUGGCAGGUGUCCUCUUCCUCCCUCACUGCUCUAUGUGCUUCCCUCCUGAAGCUGCACGCUUGGUCAAAGAUGGCCUUGCCUGAAUAGAGACUAGUCUUUGGUCGAGGGUAUAUGAGUAGCUGCGCUCCCCUGUGUUAGGAACCUCCAAACAAAGCUUUCAAGGUCCAAUUGGUAGGAUACUGUUAGGGUAGUCAAGCUUCCAAGACUUCCAAACACAUCCAAAUGAGGCACUGCAUGUGGCAGUCUGCCUUAA